GGAGGAAAGUAGGGGAUCGAAAGCCUUAUGCUUUUGGAGCGGCCGAUGUCUGAUUAGCUAGUUGGUAAGGUAAUGGCUUACCAAGGCGACGAUCAGUAGUUGGUCUGAGAGGACGACCAGCCACACUGGGACUGAGACACGGCCCAGACUCCUACGGGAGGCAGCAGUGGGGAAUUUUGGACAAUGGGCGCAAGCCUGAUCCAGCAAUGCCGCGUGAGUGAAGAAGGCCUUCGGGUUGUAAAGCUCUUUCAGUUGAGAAGAAAAGAUUGUAACUAAUAAUUGCAAUCCAUGACGGUAUCAACAGAAGAAGCACCGGCUAACUACGUGCCAGCAGCCGCGGUAAUACGUAGGGUGCGAGCGUUAAUCGGAAUUACUGGGCGUAAAGCGUGCGCAGGCGGUUUUGUAAGUCAGAUGUGAAAUCCCCGGGCUCAACCUGGGAACUGCGUUUGAAACUACAAGGCUAG
rnacentral:rRNA from 1 species